UGGUCCUUUAGCUCAGUGGUAGAGCGUGCGGCUCAUAAUCGCUUGGUCACAGGUUCGAGACCUGUAUGGACCAA
rnacentral:tRNA from 1 species